rnacentral:rRNA from 1 species
UAACCUGCCCAAGAGAUCGGGAUAACACCUGGAAACAGAUGCUAAUACCGGAUAACAACAGAUGAUGCCUAUCAACUGUUUAAAAGAUGGUUCUGCUAUCACUCUUGGAUGGACCUGCGGUGCAUUAGCUAGUUGGUAGGGUAACGGCCUACCAAGGCGAUGAUACAUAGCCGAGUUGAGAGACUGAUCGGCCACAUUGGGACUGAGACACGGCCCAAACUCCUACGGGAGGCAGCAGCA